CCAAAAACACACACUUUAUGUGUGUUUUGGUCGACCAAAAACACAGAGACAACAAGGAGUUCCCUUCAAGCCCUAAACUCACAAAAUUCUCCAAAUUCAAGAGAAAUCAAGCUAAGAAAAUUGGGGCUUUUAAUAAAUUCGUGAUCACUCAAGCUAGGAGAUCACAAGUUUACACUUGACGAGCAAGAUGGAGGCUUGGGAAAGAAGCGGGUCAAACGGAUUAAUUACGCGGAGAAAGAAUAACUGGAUUCAAGGAAUGUCUUAUGGAACUCCGGAUGAGGAUCAAGCAAGAAAGGAAAACCGAACACGUGUCUCGAAGCUUCCACAACAAUCUUAUUUUGUUCUAGAUUAAAAAGUGGAUAUUGUAAACACUUGAAAUUAUAUUUUGGAAUGUUUUAAAUUAUGUAAGAACUUUAACUUGGAAAAGUUUUUGUAAGCUUACAUUUUCGUAUAAAA